UACGUAGGGAGCAAGCGUUGUUCGGAUUUAUUGGGCGUAAAGAGCGUGUAGGCGGUUUGGUAGGUCCGCUGUGAAAACUCGAGGCUCAACCUCGAGCUGUCGGCGGAAACCAUCUGGCUAGAGUCCGGAAGAGGAGAGUGGAAUUCCUGGUGUAGCGGUGAAAUGCGCAGAUAUCAGGAAGAACACCUAUGGCGAAGGCAGCUCUCUGGGACGGUACUGACGCUGAGACGCGAAAGCGUGGGGAGCGAACAGG
rnacentral:rRNA from 1 species